rnacentral:tRNA from 1 species
GGGCCUGUAGCUCAGCUUGGCCAGAGCAGCGGACUCUUACUGCUUUUUGCAGGGGAAAUCCGCGUGUCGGGAGUUCAAAUCUCCCCAGGCCCGC